UCCGUUAUGGUGUAGUGGCUAACAUUAUCGCCUCUCAUAUCAACGAGGUGGACUCUGUGUAAGAGCGCGAUAGCCCAGGGUUCGAUUCCCUGUAACGGAA